GUGUCAGCAGCCGCGGUAAUACGUAGGGUGCAAGCGUUAAUCGGAAUUACUGGGCGUAAAGCGUGCGCAGGCGGUGCUGUAAGACAGGCGUGAAAUCCCCGGGCUUAACCUGGGAAUGGCGCUUGUGACUGCAGUGCUGGAGUGCGGCAGAGGGGGAUGGAAUUCCGCGUGUAGCAGUGAAAUGCGUAGAUAUGCGGAGGAACACCGAUGGCGAAGGCAAUCCCCUGGGCCUGCACUGACGCUCAUGCACGAAAGCGUGGGGAGCAAACAGGAUUAGAUACCCCCGUAGUCC
rnacentral:rRNA from 1 species